rnacentral:rRNA from 1 species
CCUACGGGAGGCAGCAGUGGGGAAUAUUGGUCAAUGGGCGAGAGCCUGAACCAGCGACGUCGCGUGAAGGAUGAAGGAUCUCUGGUUUGUAAACUUCUUUUAUAUGGGAAUUAAGUGCGGAACGUGUUCCUUUUUGUAUGUCCCAUUUGAAUAAGCAUCGGCUAACGCCGGGCCAGCAGCCGCGGUAAUACGGAGGAUGCGAGCGUUAUCCGGAUUUAUUGGGUGUAAAGGGUGCGUAGGUGGUUAAUUAAGUCAGCGGUGAAAGUUUGGGGCUCAACCAUGAAAUUGCCGUUGAAACUGGUUGGCUGGAGUAUAGGGGAGGUAGGCGGAAUGCGUGGUGUAGCGGUGAAAUGCAUAGAUAUCACGCAGAACUCCGAUUGCGAAGGCAGCUUACUAAACUAUAACUGACACUGAAGCACGAAAGCGUGGGGAGCAAACAGGAUUAGAUACCCCUGUAGUC